rnacentral:rRNA from 1 species
CAGCAGCCGCGGUAAUACGGAGGGGGCUAGCGUUGUUCGGAAUUACUGGGCGUAAAGCGCACGUAGGCGGCUUGGUAAGUUAGAGGUGAAAGCCCGGAGCUCAACUCCGGAAUUGCCUUUAAGACUGCCGAGCUAGUAGGUGAGAGAGGUAAGUGGAAUUCUUGGUGUAGCAGUGAAAUGCGUGGAUAUCAAGAGGAACACUCGUGGCGAAGGCGAGCUACUGGACAACAUCUGACGCUGAGGCUCGAAGGCCAGGGUAGCGAAAGGGAUUAGAUACCCCUGUAGUCCCUGUCUCUUAUAC